UUAAAACCCAGACCUCUCUCUCUCUCUCUCAGCCUCCUUGAUAGACGACGGCGGCGAAACGGCGGCAUUCAAUGACUUUGCUUGGUGUCUCCUUCAAUCCGAAGUCAAUCACUCAGUGAGUCAUCGUCUUCUCUCUCUCAAUCUCUCAUGGACGGUCGCCGGUACUAGCCCUAGCUCUCCCUCUGUUCUCGAAGCUCGACUGCACCAUUGAAGCUUUGUUUUGAGAAAGAUCUAUACCUUCAAAUUCUUCACCCCGAAGCAAUCAAGAGCCAACACAAGAGUUCCCUACAAGAAAGAUUAGUUUGCUAUAUCGACCAUUGGGGCUUGGUUGGUGUGAUUGUAGCAAGGAUUAAAGCUUUGUUUAGACGAGGCAAAACAAUUAAAGUCACUCCCAUUAUAGCCCAACAAUUUGAAGCAGGAGGUGAAUGAGAGCUUUCCAUUUGGGCGAUUGCUACCGAGACCCCAGAAUUUCGAAGAUCUGUGUUCGAGGAUAGAGCAAAGUCGCUUAAGUUACCAAACCAUGUUGGAAUUGAGUGUAGGAACACUCAGAUUACACGAGU